CCUCCACGGGGACAAGGACACAAUAAGCUACUCCCUUUGUAAGAGAACGCCCCGCCAGACUGCCUACUCGAUU
rnacentral:lncRNA from 1 species